GUAGGUGGCAAGCGUUGUCCGGAAUUAUUGGGCGUAAAGCGCGCGCAGGUGGUUCUUUAAGUCUGAUGUGAAAGCCCCCGGCUCAACCGGGGAGGGUCAUUGGAAACUGGGGAACUUGAGUGCAGGAGAGGAAAGUGGAAUUCCACGUGUAGCGGUGAAAUGCGUAGAUAUGUGGAGGAACACCAGUGGCGAAGGCGACUUUCUGGCCUGUAACUGACACUGAGGCGCGAAAGCGUGGGGAGCAAACAAGAUUAGAUACCCUGGUAGUCCACGCCGUAAACGAUGAGUGCUAAGUGUUGGGGGGUUUCCGCCCCUCAGUGCUGCAGCUAACGCAUUAAGCACUCCGCCUGGGGAGUACGGUCGCAAAGACUG
rnacentral:rRNA from 1 species